rnacentral:rRNA from 1 species
GACGAACGCUGGCGGCGUGCCUAAUACAUGCAAGUCGAACGAACCGCGACUAGGUGCUUGCACUUGGUCAAGGUGAGUGGCGAACGGGUGAGUAACACGUGGGUAACCUACCUCAUAGUGGGGGAUAACAGUCGGAAACGACUGCUAAUACCGCAUAGGACAUGGGAUCACAUGAUUCUGUGAGGAAAGGUGGCGCAAGCUAUCGCUAAGAGAUGGACCCGCGGUGCAUUAGCUAGUUGGUAGGGUAACGGCCUACCAAGGCGAUGAUGCAUAGCCGACCUGAGAGGGUGAUCGACCACAUUGGGACUGAGACACGGCCCAAACUCCUACGGGAGGCAGCAGUAGGGAAUCUUCCGCAAUGGACGCAAGUCUGACGGAGCAACGCCGCGUGAGUGAAGAAGGUCUUCGGAUCGUAAAGCUCUGUUGUUAGAGAAGAACAGCGCAUAGAGUAACUGUUAUGCGUGUGACGGUAUCUAACCAGAAAGCCACGGCUAACUACGUG